UUCAUGUCCCGCCGGACAUUCAAGGAAUCCGACUAUGUUUUCUAUAUAAACAUAUAGUAUUUUUCACAUCUGAAAAUAUACACUGAAUUUUCCAGGACUGUGUAUAAAUAGAGGUACAAGAAUCUGAGCCUCCCUUGUCCUUUAGUGCAAUCAAGCAGAGUAUCCACAUACUGAAAUACACAACAUUUUCUGAUUACAAAGGCCCAGGAAUAGCUAGUUAGCUUGCCCUGGUGUCACUGCUCACUCCUGUGAAGAAUAAGGAUAAACCAUGAGGAUAGUAGUGGUAAUGGUGAAACAGAAAGAACACAGAAAGCUGAUUCUAGAGUAGGGCUAUCUAAUAGAAAUAUCAUGCAAGCCACCAAUUGGAGCCACAUAUGUGGUUUACAUUUGGAAGUAGCUACAUUUUAAAAAGUAAAAAGAAUAUGUAACAUUAA
rnacentral:lncRNA from 1 species